rnacentral:tRNA from 2 species
GGUAGCGUGGCCGAGCAGUCUAAGGCGCUGGAUUAAGGCUCCAGUUUUGGGGGCUUGGGUUCGAAUCCCACCGCUGCCA